GGGGGGGGGGGGGGGGGGGGGGGGGGGGGGGGGGGGGGGGGGGGGGGGGGGGGGGGGGCUCGGGGCCUGCUGCCGCCGUGCGGGGUUUGUUUAUCGAGCGUUUCGACCAUAAAUCAUAGUAUUGACAGUAGCGUUGUUCGGGAAGAGGCUCUUCUCCGUGCCCUCAAAGCGCGUGUUGCGGGUGAGGAGGGGUUUUUAGAAGGGUCUGGAGCGCACGUCACAUGAGGAGCAGCUGCGGGAGCUGAGGCUGUUCAGCCUGGACAAGAGGAGGCUCAGCAGGCACCUUCCCGCUCGACAGCUCCCUGAAAGGAGCUCGUAGCCGCAUGGGGGUUGGCCUCUUCCACCGAGUAAUAAAUGGUAGGACGAGUGCGAAUGGCCGGGAAACGGUCCCAAGUUGUGCCAUAGGAGGUUUAGAUGGGAUAUCAGGGAAAAGUCCCUCACAGAAAGGGUGAAACAUUGGAACCGGCUGCCUAGGGAAGUGGGGGAGUCACUGUCCCUGCAAGCGUUCAGAAAAGCUGUAACGAGCACUGAUAUGAACGUUUGGGGUUUGUUUGUUUGUUGUUGUUUUGUUUUUAAUCUGCCUUUUUAAAGGGAAUUGUACUUUAACAGAAUAGCACUAUUCCAUUAUUGCUGUUACAAGAACCCAGUGAUCUCGGGUGCCAGAGACGGGCGUGGUGGGAGCGCUGUCCCCCUGUUUACUCUGUGUUCCAGCAUUAGAGAAACGGCCAGAAAGUGAACGUGAGCAGAUCAGGAGUUAAGAAAAUGCUUAUCAAGGCCUUGGCACUCAGAGUUUCUGCCUGCAGAUUUUCUACAGUUACUGCUGUAAGUUGCCAGUUUACCUCAGCAGAGCACAGGCAUGGACGAACACUUCCUGCUAAAAAUGAAACAGUUGUUUCCCAUCAAAGCACAAAAAGCAAAGCAUCAGAGGAGAAUCAACCAGCAGUUAUUUACCAGCAGUUUGUUAUCUAUUUCAGUGCUCACAACCGUGUUCUUUUAGCGCGAUAA
rnacentral:lncRNA from 1 species